ACCGGCGGCUCGAGUGGUGGCCACUAUUACUGGGCUUAAAGCGUUCGUAGCUGGCUUGUUAAGUCUCUGGGGAAAUCUUCCGGCUCAACCGGAAGGCGUCUCAGGGAUACUGGCAGGCUAGGGACCGGAAGAGGUGAGAGGUACUCCAGGAGGGGGAGUGAACAGCGGGGCUCCGAGGGGGAGAAACAGUGGCGGGGGCGGCAAACCGGGACAGCAACGAUAGUGGGGAUGGAAAGCUGGUAAAGCAAAGCG
rnacentral:rRNA from 1 species